CAGCAGCCGCGGGAAUACGUAGGGUGCGAGCGUUAAUCGGAAUUACUGGGCGUAAAGCGUGCGCAGGCGGCUAUGCAAGACAGAUGUGAAAUCCCCGGGCUCAACCUGGGAACUGCAUUUGUGACUGCAUGGCUAGAGUACGGUAGAGGGGGAUGGAAUUCCGCGUGUAGCAGUGAAAUGCGUAGAUAUGCGGAGGAACACCGAUGGCGAAGGCAAUCCCCUGGACCUGUACUGACGCUCACGCACGAAAGCGUGGGGAGCAAACAGGAUUAGAUACCCCUGUAGUCCCUGUCUCUUAUAC
rnacentral:rRNA from 1 species